rnacentral:lncRNA from 1 species
GGGAGGGCGGGCUCGCCGGGUAGAAGUGACUUGAAGAAAGAGCGAGAAGUAUAGAAGGGCGCAGGCGCUAGUUCAGUGCUCGUGAGCAAACACCGUCUACAAGAUUCGAGUCAAACAACGUGAGAACUUGAAAUACGUCUCCAUUCUUUUUCCUUAGUACUCUCGUUCAUUCACUUACGGAACUGAUCUGCCUUACUAUUUCCACAAAAACUAGUCAUCAGCAAGAAGCUACCUGUGGGGUGCACAUUCUCAGGUCAAAUGACUUAGAAGCAACUUGAGGCAGUAUGGGAGCAUAAAAGACAGCCAGGAUGCCAAAGUCUCCGAGCAGUGAGUAGGAGUCUAAGAAGUUGGAAAGAUUCAUGGACCUCUUCCAGUAUGUGAAAGCCACAACUGUGGAGCAAAUGGGAAAGCAGGUUCUAGAGGUUGCCUGCAUUCCUUGACUCCUGAAUCUCUAUCACCUUCAGAGCCAGAUAUUUCCUGCUGAGUCUUUCUGAGGCUGCAUCACCCUGACCCUGACUCUUCCAUCUCCAUCCUUCAUGCUUAAAGGAUCCUGGUGAUUACAUUGGACCCUCCCGUACAAUCUAGGAUACAUUUUUAACCUUAAGGUCUUCAAGGGAUCACCACACUGUCUUCCACAAUGGUUGAACUAAUUUUCACCCCCACCAAUGAUGCUACCAUUGAAUUUAAUUAUGAUGCUGUCUUCAACAUGGAAGUUACAUAAGAAAAUCUGAAGCCAUUGUGUAUUUCAGCUAGGCUUCUUCUUAGGAAAUAGAGGUCAGCCUAGUGCAGUGAAGUCUGAUUGGAGGUGGACAAUGAGGAUCCUGCCAAGGUGCUGUCCUUAGCUUCUGUUCAGCCUAAUGUAAGUUCAUUCCUUUUGAUUACAGUCAUUUCAAUGACUUUUUUUGCCCAUAAAAUUAUGACCACAUAAUUCUUAUAGACUCUUCUAGCUUUUCAAUGUUGGGGAAGAAAGCUCGCCUAAUAAGCAACUUUUCAACCUCAGAAGCUUAAGUAUUAUGAAGCAAUAAGACCCAAGAUUUGAUGAAAGAAAAGCCAGAAUUUAGUAUGGCUGAAGAUAGGUGGGGAUACAGACCA